rnacentral:rRNA from 1 species
GACGAACGCUGGCGGCGUGCUUAACACAUGCAAGUCGAACGAAGAGCGACGGAAGCUUGCUUCUAUCAAUCUUAGUGGCGAACGGGUGAGUAACGCGUAAUCAACCUGCCCUUCAGAGGGGGACAACAGUUGGAAACGACUGCUAAUACCGCAUACGAUCUAAUCUCGGCAUCGAGGAUGGAUGAAAGGUGGCCUCUACAUGUAAGCUAUCACUGAAGGAGGGGAGUGCGUCUGAUUAGCUAGUUGGAGGGGUGACGGCCCACCAAGGCGAUGGUCAGUAGCCGGUCUGAGAGGAUGAACGGCCACAUUGGGACUGAGACACGGCCCAGACUCCUACGGGAGGCAGCAGUGGGGAAUCUUCCGCAAUGGACGAAAGGCUGGCGGAGCAACGCCGCGUGAGCGAUGACGGCCUUCGGGUUGUAAAGCUCUGUUAAUCGGGACGAAAGGCCUUCUUGCGAAUAGUGAGAAGGAUUGACGGUACCGGAAGAGAAAGCCACGGCUAACUACGUG